rnacentral:sRNA from 1 species
UUGACAGUCCUGGAGACUGAAUUCCUCUGGUUAUCCUCAGAACAGGCAACAGCAAUGCAAACAUUCCAGUGGUGACUCAGUCCAGAUGAGAAAGGACUUCCCUGAAGGGUAAAGAGUGGGCAUUACCACAGCUCAUUCAGUCCUCUGCCCAC